rnacentral:lncRNA from 1 species
CACUAAGCAACGAAGCCAAAGCAGGAAAGUCGACUCAAAGCAGUCAAAACGAGACCUGCUCGUGGUGGUGAUCUCACUGGACUGGCCCCUUCACUCUUGGCCCUGGGGUGCCCUGCCAGAUUGGACAACCUCUCAGACUGAGUGGUUGACCCUGGUGGGGAAGUCAGCUGUUAUGAUGUUGCCACACGUCCCCUCUCCCAGCCUAGGAUGCAAAAGCUGCCUUUUCCCCAUUUCCUGUUUCCCCCUCGCCACCGCCGUUCUGUUGGGGCAUGUACAUGCAAGGAGAGUAGCAUUCAGGAUUCCUACGUUCUCUGACUCUCUUUUAGCGCCUGCAUUGGCUGUUCGCCAAGGCAACUGGAGCGCAUUUUCAAAAAGCAGGUGAGUUUGGGGGAAGAUCUCGUAUCUCCUCCAAUAUUUUAAUUCCCUGCAAAUUAGAGCAGUCAGGACCCCCUCGGAAAGGUAUAUAAUCACCCCCGGCACCUCCAAAUUAAAGACCCUCAACAAGGGGGUCCUUCUCAAGGGAAAAGUACCCAGGUAUGGUAGCUGCUUUUAAGACAUUCGAGAAGCGACACACAGCUUAUAUUUCUGAUAUGAAAACCACUCUGUCUUCCUUGUAAGCAACCAUUUGAUGGGUGGCAUUGCAGUCACAGGUGUGAAACAUCUGGUUGUAACCAGAGUGGGGGUGACUGGCUCACCGCGGAGGACGGCAGGUACAAGGUCUUGUACCUGGCCCACACAUGCAAAUUCCCACCUGGAAACUGACUCUCCCCUGUCAGAAUUCAACAGGUUAAUGUCAGCAGCUGGCAGAGGUCUGGCCGUGGUUACACUGAGUGCUGCAUGGCGACAGGUAAAGGACAACAGAAGGCCUUCAGAGAAGGGACGGCAGAUUGUCCGAGGGGCAGGUGCCCUGGCUUGCUACGCCAGGGGAGAGAACAGGCCCUGACUCAGCGCCAGGAUUGGAGGUGCAGGGAAAAGAACCAGAAGACGCCUGGACAGGAAAAAGAUGCUGACAAGCACCAAUGAUGGGGCACUUACUCUCUCCUCACCAGGCACCAUGCCAGGUCUAGGUAAGGUCUCUCAUUUGAUCCCAGCGAGAGCCCCAUUUUACAGAAAGGGAAACUGCCACCAUAAGGAAAAGACAGACCCAAAGCAGGAACCAGGAACAGCCCUAGUACCAAAGCACCCAGAAGGCACAGGACUUGAAAUCGGUUGCCAAGAAAAAUUCAGGAACCUGAAUUCUUUAUAGUCACGGCAAUGAGGAUUAAGAGAGAUGUGCAUCUAAGCCCCUGUGUCUUUUCAGCUGACUCCCCUUUAUUGGGCCAGCUGUGCCUAUCACACCUCGAGAUGGCUGGUGAGGGCUGGCUUGGCGAGGACUGGGACCAGAAAAGGGACGGAGAGGUGUCUGCAAUAGAUUCCUUCCAAGAGCGGGUGAAUGGCCACAUGCACUCCAGCCCCCACACUAGUGGGAGAAGAAGAUCAAUGUAUCACAGUAAAAGAACUGGCCCACGAAUUUGAGCUCUGUUUACACUUCUGAAAUCAGUGCGAAUCAUUUCCCUAUUCGCAACUGAGAUGUUCUGCCGUCAUUAAUACCUGUUGAUAAGUGCAAAUCGGGCUGGAAUUUCUUUCGCAGAGACCCGUGCUCAAGCCUACCGACAACUGCAGUCAAAGCGCAGGUCCCGCUGAAAGUAACACACCAUAGAAGUCACCACAGAACUCUGAUUCAUAAAUUGUCUAAAUAGUCUUUCCCCACAGACAACAUUAGCCCUUUGUUUGAUCUCGAGCCAAAACAGUUCUUGGCUCUGAUUAGCCGUCAGUGAACAAAUGAUACCAUAUUACAGCACCCAGCCACGAGAGUGAACACCUCCUACACUGCGGAAAAGCGGGCAUCUCUCAGCCUCAGCCCCCUGCGUCUAGAAGCAGAAAAGCCCAAAAGUGCAUGAGAAGAGUUAGAUCCUGCCUGGUCUAUUGGAAGGGCUAGACAACCUUAAAAGGUGACAGACGUCAGAGCAAUCCGUUUCCACUGGUUGGGCCGGACUGUGACACGGAGUCAGGGGGUUUGGAUGAGACGCUCAAACAAUGACAACACAGUUGCAUUCCCAGCUGUGUGAAAUGCCCAGCAUAUCAUGAUUGCCUUUUCACGCAAAUGUCAAUGACAUAAUCCUAACAGGCUUGCAGCGCUCUCACUGGUGUAAUAAAACAAUGACCCAAUUAUUGUGGAGGGCUGAGGCAGCAGAUGUGAUGACUGGGUAUGCUGUGCAGGGCACUGUGUGUGAUGGACGGGGCACAGUAGGGCAGGAAAGUGUGUGCCGAGGAUUUGAAAUUUGCCUCCCAAGCCAAAACUCCCACCAUUCAUCGGGUGGGGUAGGGAGGGGGGGAAAGCCAUUCACUAUGAAAGUUCCCACUUGUUCUCAUGACGGAGGCCAGUUGGGAAAAUGUGGCACAGCGCUGAUUGAAGCAAAUUCUGUUUAAAGAACCAGCCGGUUUGUGGGUAUCUGUUUAUUUAUAACUCUCCCCUCCUCCUCCCCCACACCCAGCUUCAGUUCCGUAAAGGAUCUGAGAUGGGACUGGAACGCUGAAAGUUUGUUUAAGUCCUAAACUGGUCCGGCUGCUUUUCAGGUUGACGACAAAAUGAACCGCUGAAAAGGGAGCGCCUUGCUCUAGAGAUGCUGCCUCGCUUAUUCUCCUUAGCACCUCCCGUCCCCCCUUGUAUCCCGCAGGGAGAGGAGGGACCUCUUGCACCUCUUGCACACACCUUGUCUCCAGGGCUACAUUUUAAUGUAAACCAGGGAAAUAAACAUGAGCCCAUAAGCCUGAGGCUGGGAAAAUAAAGAACAUGGAUUCUGGCCCUCCCUCUCUCCCUCAUUCAUUUACUCAACAAAUAUUGAUUGGUACCUGUUCUGGAACAAGCUCUAUUCCAGGCACAGGGGAAGCAAAUGAAGAAGCCAGAGUCCUUGCACUUGGAAAGCUCCCAGUCCAGUGGAAGGCUAUACUAUCAGGGCUGCGGUGGGGUAGCGUGGGGGCUACCAGGGGAACAGAUGGUUCCAUUCACGGCCUCAGCCUGCCGCGGGUUCAACUUUCCAUUCUGCCUCUCGCUACCUGCACGACCUUGGGCACUCUGCUUAACAUCUCAGAGCCUCGAUUCCCUCAUCUGUAAAAUGGGGCUAAUAAUAGAAUUGACGUCAUUGGGUUAUCAUGAGGAUUAAAUGAGAUAAUCUGGGUAGAACACUUAGAACAGUUCCUGGCACAUAGCAAGCAUCCAGUCAAAAGUCAGUUUUUUAAUGCUUUCUAUUCCUUUUGUUUGACUUUCGUAAGACUGUGUCUGGUGAUGAGACUCCAAGGACUGGUUUCUAAAACAAAACUGCUUUCAACAAACUCCUCCCUUUAGCCUGAUUUUUUUUUUUUUCAUUUGGGAUGACACAGUUCUGUCAUGAUUUUUCCCUCAGCAACCAUAUGUCUGGCAAAAAAAAAACCUCAAGGAAAAAAUAUGUCCCAGAUGCUUUUGUUUAUGUCCACCUACUAUGUGCCAAGCACCCCACUAGAUGAGAGAAACACAUUGCCAAGCGGUAAAGACAAGGUCCCUGGCCUCCUGGAGUUUACAUUCCAGUGAGAAAGGCAGACUAGAAACAGCCACGUAGAAAUAGAUAUAAUUACCCAGAAGGGUGAGGGGGGUUAAGGAAACACAGCCGAUAAAAGGAAUCUUAGGAGGGCACUAACUGUAGGUGGUCAGAGAAGGCGUAUCUCGGGAGGUGACCCUAAAGCUGAGACCGAAAGGUUAAGAAGAAGCCUCCCGGGUCCACAGCAAGAGCAAAGGCAGUCCAGGCUGCAGGAACAGUAUGUGCAAAGGCCCUGGGGCAGGAGGAGACUUUGGGAAGGCGAGAUUAAUGGACUUACCCACAAUGCCUUGCACACAGUAGGCUCCAUAUAAUUGUCCGUCAGCAGGGCGGGGCUGGGGCCCUCCGCCUUCCAAAUUCGGACUGAGAGUUCCCACCACAACUAGGAAUCAGCUACCCAGGAGGACUGAAACAUAUAGUCUUUUUCGUUUGGUGAAUCAUAGGCAACACGCAUUAGAGUGUAGGGUCGAGUGGCCCCAGCUGCCGUCUGAGUGUAAGGGGCGGGGGUGGGCUCAGACCGCGGCCGAAGCUUUUUAGCAUGUUUAUGAUGAGCUGAAAGCACUCACUGCUUAAUUUAAAAUACCGCUCACACAUACACAUACAAUUCAGCAGCUGGGGGAGCUGCCAGGAAUUGAGGCUAAGUGUAGAAAAUUGGAGGAUCAGAAAUAUCGGGUACCCAGCCCGGUUUCCCAGCUCCCACGGGCUGUCUCUGACCCUGUCACAGUCCCAUCUCCCCCACGACCCCUAGCCUGGUCAAGACAUGGAGCGGGGCAGCCGCGGUUUGGGGGAAGCGGGGGGGUCUCUGCCGAGCCCUCCGUGCCGGCAACGCUACCAGUUCUACCUAGUCUUAAGCUUGCCGUCCUUCCUCUCCAUCCACCACGCCUAUUAACCACCCCCCCACCCCCCACCCCCCGCCGCCAAAACCCAAACCCGCUCUCACGGUGAAGCCUGCCUUUGCGGGGUUCCCCCCACCUUCAUAUUCUUGGAAAUCUGACAGUUGAGAAAACUCAUUUGGCCCUGAUCACAAAUUGCUUGGGCUGGUGGCUGCUUUUUCUAGUGUGUGUAUCUUACCUCUCCCACCACAAGGGGGCCCUGGGCACACAUUUGAGGAAGGGAGUUGCUUUCUUCUGUCUUCCCCACAGCUCUCAGCACAGGGGUAGGUACACAGCAAGAGUCCCCUGUGCCUCUGCUCAUGGAUUACAGGAUAGUAUCAUUGCAAAAGCCUUUGGGGCGGAGGAACCGCUCUUGAUAGAAAAACAAGAACUUCAACUUGACAAAAUGUGAACCCCUCGGGGGCAUCCACUUUCCUUCCCACUGCUCCCUUUACACCCAUGUAUCCUGCUUACAAACUGGAGGAAGCCGCAGCCUUUGCAAUCAAAAUGCCCCCAAGUCCAUCACUUUAUUCAUAAUAUCCCUUCUGAUGAGGGGCACUCUUUCCCAACACUACCUAUCAAUCGCCAACUCACUCUUCAAGGUCCAAUCCCAAGGCCAUCUCCGCCAUAAAACUUUCCCAGACCUAACGCAUUGCCUUGUCCCUGAACCCUCCUGACACCCUCUGUCUAUAGCCUCCUCUAGGCUGUAGGCUGGUGGGCUGGGAUAACCUAGGUUCAAAACCCAGGGCCACCACUCCCCUAAACAACCUCAGUUUUCUCUUCUGGAAAAGGGCACAACAACCUGCCUCAGGAUUCUGGAAGUUGCCAAUGAAAUAAUAAUAUCCACAGCCCACUCAGCACAAGCCUGGGUCUAGGGAGCUUAGCAAGGGUCACGCAGCAGCAGCAUCUUCAUCCUCUCUGGGAAGCAGGGCGAAGUAACAGUUAAGAGCGCGUGGGCUUGGGAACCAGCCAUAUCUAGGUUCCAGGCCUGGUGCCACUACGUCCUAACCGUGUGACCUUGGGCCGGUCACUUCCUCUCUGAGGCCCAGUUCCCUUAACGUGUGAAAUGAAGUCAUCACAGUUUCCCUGCCCCAUCACAGGACCUGUUGGGAAGGUCCAAAGACAUAACGUACACGGGGUAAAAAAGCCAGCUCAGCCCAGGGCCCGGCGCGUCGAGAUUGCUCAUGCAGGUCUACACUCUGCUACAACCUAUACAACUCCUUUAAGGGCACAGAUAACACUUGACGUAUCUUUGCAUCGCUCCCUGCCUCAGCCUAGCCCAGAACCUCUGCAGCUGGCAGGCCCACAAUAAAUCAUUGUUGAAUUGAAUCGAAAACCCAAACCAGAUGUGCCUCCUCCCCUGUCAAAUGAAGCUUUCAAGCUGGCAGGCUGGACUUGCCGCCCCCUUCAGCUCCCCCUCCCUCCCUGCGAAGGGCUCUGGGGAACGAAGCAGGAGGGGAUGGGAAGAGCGGAGGGCCAGGCGGGACAAGCUGGGUAGGAAGCACACGCGGGCCGCUCCCGGGGACUCUGGGCAAACUGCCUGGGAAAGGGUGUUCUCCUGAGGUCUCCGCUGAAUGAAAAGAGGCAGGUUUGAUCCGCAACGUGACACAUCAAAAAGCCCCUGACCCAUCCAGGGUCGAGCGGUGGAGGAAACCCACGUCUCCUCCCCGACACUGAAACCCAGACGUAAGCGAAGGUGUCGGGAGAAAGGUCCCUUCUCCUUCAGCAGAGACGCUGAAACUCGGGCUCAGAGAGGUUCGCCUUGGAAAUUGGGAGACUGGGCUUCAAAGCAGGGUUCGACCGGGGACAGGACAACUUUCACCAUGUAGCCACCUGGCCUUGAGGUUAGUCUUGCUUCAGAGGAACAGAGAGAUGUAUUUAUUUCACACACACACACACACACACACUCAAGAUCCCUGGGAAGAGAACACAGCUUUACUGGGGAAAAAAUACACCCUCCCCCAAUGCGAAUCUGUUGAAAGCUACAAAGACACUUGAGCCUUCAGUGUUUCUGAGCCAGAGCUGUGUAGUCGGUGCACAGGGUGUCAUGUGCUAUCCAGCACAGCGUCGAGAUGAAGAGCCAGACACCAGAAUGUGGCCGCCUGGACUGUAACUCUGGGUGUGUCACAUACUAACCUGCCUGACCCCAGGCAAGUGACUGAGCUUCCAGGUGCCUCUGUUCUCUCAUCUGUCAGUAACAGUACCUCCUUACAGAGUUGUCUAUGAGAAUGCACCGAGCUAGUGUUUGUAAAGCACCUUCCAUGUGCCUGGUGUGACUGUUUGUUAAAAAUAAUGCAU